AGUGAACGCUGGCGGUAGGCCUAACACAUGCAAGUCGAACGGCAGCACAGUAAGAGCUUGCUCUUACGGGUGGCGAGUGGCGGACGGGUGAGGAAUACAUCGGAAUCUACUUUUUCGUGGGGGAUAACGUAGGGAAACUUACGCUAAUACCGCAUACGACCUACGGGUGAAAGCAGGGGAUCUUCGGACCUUGCGCGAUUGAAUGAGCCGAUGUCGGAUUAGCUAGUUGGCGGGGUAAAGGCCCACCAAGGCGACGAUCCGUAGCUGGCCUGAGAGGAUGAUCAGCCACACUGGAACUGAGACACGGUCCAGACUCCUACGGGAGGCAGCAGUGGGGAAUAUUGGACAAUGGGCGCAAGCCUGAUCCAGCCAUACCGCGUGGGUGAAGAAGGCCUUCGGGUCGUAAAGCCCUUUUGUUGGGAAAGAAAAGCAGCAGGUUAAUACCCCGCUGUUCUGACGGUACCCAAAGAAUAAGCACCGGCUAACUUCGUG
rnacentral:rRNA from 1 species